rnacentral:rRNA from 1 species
GGACUACCGGGGUUUCUAAUCCUGUUUGCUCCCCUAGCUUUCGCAGCUCAGCGUCAGUGAUGGCCCAGAGACCUGCUUUCGCCAUAGGUAUUCCUCCUGAUAUCUACGCAUUUCACCGCUACACCAGGAAUUCCAGUCUCCCCUACCACACUCUAGUCCGGUAGUUUCCCUUGACCUCUCCCAGUUGAGCCGGGAGCUUUCACAAGAGACUUACCAAACCGCCUACCUGCGCUUUACGCCUAGUGAUUCCGAGUAUCGCUUGCCACCUACGUAUUACCGCGGCGGCUGGCAC